rnacentral:rRNA from 1 species
AUUGAACGCUGGCGGCAGGCCUAACACAUGCAAGUCGAACGAGUGGCGGAGGGGUGAGUAAUGUAUGGGAAACUGCCUGAUGGAGGGGGAUAACUACUGGAAACGGUAGCUAAUACCGCAUAACAUCGCAUAUGCCUAGUUGGGAUUAGCUAGUAGGUGGGGGAAAGGCUCACCUAGGCGACGAUCCCUAACUGGUCUGAGAGGAUGAUCAGCCACACUGGAACUGAGACACGGUCCAGACUCCUACGGGAGGCAGCAGUGGGGAAUAUUGCACAAUGGGCGCAAGCCUGAUGCAGCCAUGCCGCGUGUAUGAAGAAGGCCUUCGGGUUGUAAAGUACUUUCAGCGGGGAGGCGUUACCCGCAGAAGAAGCACCGGCUAACUCCGUGCCAGCAGCCGCGGUAAUUC